AUGUAUAAUAGCUGCCCACUGCUCCUUAUACUAGGAUUUCACUGUGUGCUGUGUACAUGUGUGACGAUUAAAGGAGGAUUCAACAUCCACCAUUUCCAUUUCGGGAUGACACAACAAUUCAAUUAUCAUCAUCUUUUGUUCUACAGAAACACGUAGAUCAACCUUGUAUCCAUAGCUUGCUGCACUUGUUUUACGUCAAUAACGUGCGUAACCUUUAAGAACGGGCGUGACUUCCUGGUUUGUUCGCAGCCUCACUGCAGCUCAAUGCGGAAGACAAACAGGGAUCUCAGAACCCCACGCACAAUCUGAAGCAAGUUUUCUGAGGAUUUUGUGUGAGACCUGAAGUGUUUAAAAACAUAACCAUGUGGCCAAAUCAAGGUCCUCCCCCUCCAGUGGGUCCACCAAACCCUGCUUUCCCUCCUAACUACAACCCUGCUUUUCCUGUUGCACCUCCAUCAGGAGGACUUUUUCCCCAACCUGCACUUCCAGCAUACCCAGGUGGAUAUCCAGGAGUCCCUACUGCAGGUGUUCACCCAGGUCCAUACCCGCACUCUCCAAAAGGGUGUCACCAAAAAGGCCAUAAAGGCCACAAAGGUGACCACAAAGGUCAUCAUCAUCAUGGAGGCUUGAAUCCCAUGGCUGGAGCAUGCGCCGGUGGACUGGCUGGAAUGGGAAUGGGAAUGGUCGGACAUAAGGGCCACAAAAAGAUGAAGAAGAUGAAAAAAAUGAAGAAAGCACAUAAGGGGAGCAAACACGGCAAGUCCUCGAGUAGUAGCAGCAGCAGCAGCAGUAGCAGCAGCAGCAGUGACUAAGCUUGAGGCCACCACAACAAGACAAAGCUUUCACAGAAAUGUCGCUUUACAAAAGGACCAUUAACAAUAAACACACAAAAUAAAUCUUGCAUGGGCUAUUUAUACUAGCAAUGCAUACAUAAGGUGUUACUGUACACAUUUGGCUGCAUUCCAUCAUGUCUUAAAUCUCCUUUUCUUUGGUUUGUAGUGUUUAUGUCAAAUGUUCCAUUGUUAUGGCUUCUGUAUUAUUGUAAAAAAUACACUACAAAUACCUGUGUGUGUGUGUGUGUGUGUGUGUGUGUGUACAAACACAUUAAAAUAAUAUAAGUCCAGCAAGCAAUGAUUUAAAAAAAAAAAAUAAUCUAACAUUGUGAUUUAGUAAAAGAAAAAUGUAUUUGUGUUUUUUUUUAAUUUUUUAGUGAAAAUAAUGAAUAAUGAAAUAAUGAAAAAGAUGCUGAAUGUUUUUAUGUGCAAACAAAUGUUUAGAAAUAAUGUAUUCUGCAAGGCUUUGUAUCUGCAAUAAUUGUAAUUAUAUAUAUAUAUAUAAAUGGUCUUCAAUUAAACCUGCUCAAUAAAUAUAUUUAAAGCAGAAGUCUAAUAUGUGUGUGUUCCCCAAGAUGAUAAAUAAUUGAAGUUAUAAAAUGAGUUGCAAUACACUUUGCGCCCACUAGUGUCCCUAUAAAUAAAUAUUUUAUUGAAGUUUGUAAAUAUGAACAUAAGAAACAUUGGUAAAGCAUAGG
rnacentral:lncRNA from 1 species